GACGAACGCUGGCGGCGUGCUUAACACAUGCAAGUCGAGCGGUAAGGCCCUUUCGGGGGUACACGAGCGGCGAACGGGUGAGUAACACGUGGGUGACCUGCCCUUAGCUCUGGGAUAAGCCUGGGAAACUGGGUCUAAUACCGGAUAUGACUCCAUAACGCAUGUUGUGGGGUGGAAAGCCUUGUGCGGCUAGGGAUGGGCCCGCGGCCUAUCAGCUUGUUGGUGGGGUGAUGGCCUACCAAGGCGACGACGGGUAGCCGGCCUGAGAGGGCGACCGGCCACACUGGGACUGAGACACGGCCCAGACUCCUACGGGAGGCAGCAGUGGGGAAGUCUUGCGCAAUGGGCGAAAGCCUGACGCAGCGACGCCGCGGUGGGGAGU
rnacentral:rRNA from 1 species